GACGAACGCUGGCGGCGUGCUUAACACAUGCAAGUCGAACGGGCCCGCUCUCUUUUUUGGGGGUGGGUUGAGUGGCGAACGGGUGAGUAUCACGUGAGUAACCUGCCCCCUGCUCCUGGAUAACUGCUUGAAAGGGCGGCUAAUACGGGGUGUGCCGGCUGGUCCGCAUGGGCCUGGUCGGGAUAGUUUCAUCUUCGGGUGUUUCGGUGGGGGAUGGGCUCGCGGCCUAUCAGCUUGUUGGUGGGGUGAUGGCCCACCAAGGCGGUGACGGGUAGCCGGCCUGAGGGGGUGGGCGGCCACACGGGGACCGAGACACGACCCAGACUCCGGCGGGAGGCAGCAGUGGGGGGUAUUGCACAAUGGGCGGAAGCCUGAUGCAGCGACGUCGCGUGAGGGAUGGAGGCCUUCGGGUUGGGAACCUCUUUCUCCGGUGGUGAAGGCCCUGUCCGUUGCGGCGGGGUUGACGGUAGCCGGGUAUGAAGCGCCGGCUAACUACGUG
rnacentral:rRNA from 1 species